GGAUGUAGCUCAGUUGUUAUAGUGCUUGCCUCAUACACACAAGGCCCUGUGUUCAAUCCCCAGCACCA
rnacentral:tRNA from 1 species